AAGAAAAUAAUUUAACUGGUAGAAUAUUGAUUUCCAAAUUCAAAAGCAAAGGUUCAAGUCCUUUUUUUCUUG
rnacentral:tRNA from 1 species